rnacentral:lncRNA from 1 species
AUCUUCGAAUCCAGCAGGAAUCAGUGUGGGAUUUGUGCCAGCUCGACUUCCCCAAGUUGCCGGACGAACGGUGUCGUUUCGCCUGCGCCUCCACACCAACGCGUACCUACCCGUCUCCUGACUGGCUACUACGUCGACCAUGAAAAAACAUGGUGAAAAGAAGCACGGUGGUAUCGACCCUGAGAAGAGAGAGAGAAAGGCGCAGCCGGCCGUUGUACCAGUCCCUGUCUCCAAUCCUCCGGAUG